AGUGAACGCUGGCGGUAGGCCUAACACAUGCAAGUCGAACGGCAGCACAGUAAGAGCUUGCUCUUACGGGUGGCGAGUGGCGGACGGGUGAGGAAUACAUCGGAAUCUACUUUUUCGUGGGGGAUAACGUAGGGAAACUUACGCUAAUACCGCAUACGACCUACGGGUGAAAGCAGGGGAUCUUCGGACCUUGCGCGAUUGAAUGAGCCGAUGUCGGAUUAGCUAGUUGGCGGGGUAAAGGCCCACCAAGGCGACGAUCCGUAGCUGGUCUGAGAGGAUGAUCAGCCACACUGGAACUGAGACACGGUCCAGACUCCUACGGGAGGCAGCAGUGGGGAAUAUUGGACAAUGGGCGAAAGCCUGAUCCAGCCAUACCGCGUGGGUGAAGAAGGCCUUCGGGUUGUAAGGCCCUUUUGUUGGGAAAGAAAAGCAGCAGGUUAAUACCCCGCUGUUCUGACGGUACCCAAAGAAUAAGCACCGGCUAACUUCGUG
rnacentral:rRNA from 1 species